UCUGUCUGCUGCCACCAUUAC
rnacentral:siRNA from 1 species